CAGUAGCCACGGGAAUACGAAGGGGGCUAGCGUUGCUCGGAAUCACUGGGCGUAAAGGGUGCGUAGGCGGGUUUUUAAGUCAGAGGUGAAAUCCUGGAGCUCAACUCCAGAACUGCCUUUGAUACUGAAAGUCUUGAGUUCGGGAGAGGUGAGUGGAACUGCGAGUGUAGAGGUGAAAUUCGUAGAUAUUCGCAAGAACACCAGUGGCGAAGGCGGCUCACUGGCCCGAUACUGACGCUGAGGCACGAAAGCGUGGGGAGCAAACAGGAUUAGAUACCCCCGUAGUCCCUGUCUCUUAUAA
rnacentral:rRNA from 1 species